GUCUAUGGCCAUGCCACCCUGAACAAGCCUGAUGUCUAAUUUCGGAAGCUAAUCAGGGUCAGGCCUGGUUAGUACUUGGAUGGUGAGACCACCUAGGAAGACCAGGUGCUGUAGGCA
rnacentral:rRNA from 1 species